rnacentral:rRNA from 1 species
AGAAUCAACGCUGGCGGCGUGCCUAACACAUGCAAGUCGAACGAGAAAGUGGAGCAAUCCAUGAGUAAAGUGGCGCACGGGUGAGUAACACGUGACUAACCUACCCUUGAGUGGGGAAUAACUUCGGGAAACCGAGGCUAAUACCGCAUAACACCUACGGGUCAAAGGAGCAAUUCGCUUAAGGAGGGGGUCGCGGCAGAUUAGUUAGUUGGCGGGGUAAUGGCCCACCAAGACGGUGAUCUGUAUCCGGCCUGAGAGGGCGCACGGACACACUGGAACUGAAACACGGUCCAGACUCCUACGGGAGGCAGCAGUGGGGAAUUUGCGCAAUGGGGGAAACCCUGACGCAGCAACGCCGCGUGGAGGAUGAAGUCCCUUGGGACGUAAACUCCUUUGAUCGGGACGAUUAUGACGGUACCGGAAGAAGAACGCCCCGGCUAACUUCGCGCCAGCAGCCGC